CAUUUUAUUAUAAAUUAAAACGUCAGGUAAAUAUCAGGUCUCUAGUAUAUCCCGUUUUUAGUGUGCCCCUUCGAGUCGACGUCGGCCACAUGUUUGCCAUGGUUUACAAACUGAAAAUAGAAUGAUUUGUGAAGUUGAACAUUUUCUCACAAAGAAUCCGUUUGUAGACAUGUACACUCAUUUAAUCUGCAGCUACGAAGUACUUUGUCACUUCUCUGGAACAUUAUUCUAAGCAGAAUUAUCCCUAUUCAUAUAUUCUAAGAAUCUUGUGUGAAUUGUUUACGAGGAAAUUCUGACUGUCACAUUAACAAGGAUGAACACUCUUGACUCUGCUUCGGAUUCCCCAGUGAUAAUUGUAUCGAGUGAUGAAAGAGCUGACGGCGACAUUUUAAUGUAUGAUUGGCUUGGACCAUUGGAAUGAAGUCAUUUCAUGGUGCCACCACUUGGGAUGGUAUUAGCUGCAAAUAUAGACUUGUACUCAGCACUUACUGCCUUUAAGAAGUAUGAGAUCCAUUUUGUGCUAACACCUACCGUGACACAGAAUCUUGGUUUAUGCAGUCUCAUAGGAGUAACCUGUCUAAAGCAUUUAGCAAUGGGAUUGGAACCUGCGACGUGUGACUCAUCUGAAUACUGAAUUUUGAUACCAAGCAUGACCAUGAUUUGCCAGAAGAUCAUCUGUUUGGAUGUGACAUGGAAUAAACAGCAUAGUGAAAAUAAGUCAAGUUUUGGUUUGUGAAGACAAUUUUUAAACACACUGUGUAUCAUUUUUAAAUUUUGAUUUGACAACAUAAAUCCACAAAUAUGAACAUAUCAAUUGCUCUCAGUUUUUCAAGUGAAAUAGUUUUUGUAACAGAAAUACAUGUACCAGUAAUUACAUUGGAAUAAAUGUUAUUUUUAAAUAUAAUAAUAUUUUGUUUGUGUAGCAUGUUGACCUCUUUAUUAAGGUCUUCCCUUUCAAAGUUUAGACUUACUUAUUCUAAUGAUUAAGAUAGAUCCUCUGUCUUCAGCAGGAAUAUAAGAUCUUGUAAUACAUGUAUGUGUAUUUUUUACAGUAUACCGUAUUUGGCCGAAUAUAAUACGCAUUUAUGUAAAAUACGCACCCCCCUUUUUGAGUCUGAAACUGGGGAAAAAACGCAGUUCGGAUGUAUUAUACGCAACAGAAAAAUUUACAAAGCGAUGUUCUGAACUAUGAAAAUCACAGUAAUUUGUUACGAAAAUCGGCGCGAGGAUUAGGUGUCAAAAAAUUUACUGAACACACUUUUUUAAAAAUACACACUUUAUAACUUUCUCUU